rnacentral:rRNA from 1 species
GACGAACGCUGGCGGCGUGCUUAACACAUGCCAGUCGAGCGGAAAGGCCCUUCGGGGUACUCGAGCGGCGAACGGGUGAGUAACACGUGAGUAAUCUGCCCUUGGCUUUGGGAUAACUACCGGAAACGGUGGCUAAUACCGGAUACGACAACCGUCUGCAUGGGCUGGUUGUGGAAAGUUUUUUCGGCCAGGGAUGUGCUCGCGGCCUAUCAGCUUGUUGGUGGGGUAAUGGCCUACCAAGGCUUCGACGGGUAGCCGGCCUGAGAGGGUGACCGGCCACACUGGGACUGAGACACGGCCCAGACUCCUACGGGAGGCAGCAGUGGGGAAUAUUGGACAAUGGGCGGAAGCCUGAUCCAGCAACGCCGCGUGAGGGAUGACGGCCUUCGGGUUGUAAACCUCUUUCAGUACCGACGAAGCGCCGAUGAUGGUGGUGACGGUAGGUACAGAAGAAGCACCGGCCAACUACGUG